AACGUAGGUCACAAGCGUUGUCCGGAAUUACUGGGUGUAAAGGGAGCGCAGGCGGGAGAACAAGUUGGAAGUGAAAUCCAUGGGCUCAACCCAUGAAUUGCUUUCAAAACUGUUUUUCUUGAGUAGUGCAGAGGUAGGCGGAAUUCCCGGUGUAGCGGUGGAAUGCGUAGAUAUCGGGAGGAACACCAGUGGCGAAGGCGGCCUACUGGGCAUCAACUGACGCUGAGGCUCGAAAGUGUGGGUAGCAAACAGG
rnacentral:rRNA from 1 species